GCGCCGGUAGCUCAACUGGAUAGAGCAUCUGACUACGGAUCAGAAGGUUGGGGGUUCGAAUCCUCCCCGGCGCG
rnacentral:tRNA from 1 species